rnacentral:rRNA from 1 species
UACAGAGGUCCCAAGCGUUGUUCGGAUUCACUGGGCGUAAAGGGUGCGUAGGUGGUGGGGUAAGUCGGAUGUGAAAGCUCGGAGCUCAACUCCGAAAUGGCAUUGGAAACUACCCUGCUAGAGGAUUGGAGGGGGGACUGGAAUACUUGGUGUAGCAGUGAAAUGCGUAGAUAUCAAGUGGAACACCAGUGGCGGAGGCGAGUCCCUGGACAAUACCUGACACUGAGGCACGAAAGCUAGGGGAGCAAACAGG